GAGAGAAUACUUGUGUGUGUGAAUAUUUCUGUAGGGAUGUCUGUGGAAAAAACAAACACAGUUGUGUUUCUCACCUGCCGCCCGAUAACUAAUGAGAAGUAGGAAGUGCAAGACAGGUGUGCAAAAGGGGAAGCGCAAAAACCUGUCUUUGCAUGUGACUUCCCAAAGGAGCAGCAAGAAGGGAAAAAGACUGAGAUUGGAUGGCCGCAGCAGAAAAAGAAACAUGGCUUUGUAAAAUGUUCAUAAUGCUAAACUGGAAUUUCAUUUCUACACCCUCUUCUGUUUUUAGUGAAUGAGGUAUCCCCUUCUGUGAUAUCAGAGUACGUGCGACAUUUCCUGCCGCUUGCCGUGGAUGGAUUGCGCAAGCUCGUACGAGGUGGCUAUAAAAAAACAUUCAAGUGAUCCAUGGGCUGGUCGCCGUUCCAUUAAGGGUCCGCGACUGCAUCCGUGGCCUUGGGCUAAAUCGUUACUCUGAGGGGAACCAGCCAAACGUCUUGAAUAACUAAACCGGAACACAAGGCCUCAUCAGUUAAAGUGAUCCCAAUUCGACAAUUCAAGAGUCGUGGAGGCUGGACUCAAGUCAGAAAAGGAGCUGGAAGAGCUGGUGGCCAGGAUGUGGAGGGUCCAAAAGGAUCCUGCCCACUCUGGACCAAGUCCUCGAUAGUGGGAAGCGUGGUGAUGAGAAUCUGUUCAGGGGUUUUGAUUGUCCGUUGCAGUCUUAGUUUGUCCUUUUUUGUGGUGGCCCCAAACCAGAGUGUGAUGGAGGUACACAGUACUGAUUGGAUAACCGCUGUGUGGAACUGUUUCAGUAGCUCUUGUGACAGGCUGUGCUUCCUCAGAAGCCGCAAGAAGUACAUUCAUUGCUGGGAUUUUUUGAGGAUGGAGUUGAUGUUCGUCUCCCACUUCAGCUCCUCUGAGACUGUAAUUCCCAAGAACUUGAAGGUCUCAACAGUUGACACAAGACGGCGUCAGGGACAUCUUUGGUGAAGGAUGGCUCCAGAAGUCCACAAUCAUCUCCACACUAAUCAUACCAUCCAUACCAUCAGCAUAAAGAAUACUAACUGAAAAGUAGUUACAACAAACAAGAAAAACUGAAAUUAGAUUUAGAGUGGGCAGCACAGUAAUCUGGCGGUUAGCAUGUCAAACUCACAAUGGAGAGGUUCAGGCUUAGAAUCUUGGUUCGGUUCGACCUUUGUGGAGUUUGCAUGCUCUCCCUAUGCUGAGGUGGGGAGUUUCCUUUGGGUGCUCCGGCUACCUCCCGCUUUCCCAAAACAUGCAUGAAAUAAAUGUUUACUGAUAAUUAGCGCAUUUAGCAGAUUGUCAUUUUCUGCAUAGUCAAUUAUCGUCAUUUUUUUUCUCUAUGUCACCAUCGCUAAAAGGCAGCAGGAUUGGGGGAAUGUUGAGGGACACAACUUCAGUGCAUAAUGACUACUUUUUAAAAUAUGUCUGUGAUCUACAUCAGAUAGAAAAAGGCUGAUUUAAAAUGUCCAUUAUCCAUUAUUUUUUAUGUGCAAGUUAGUCAUCCCCACUGCAAUGAACGACUGAAAACGUCCCCAAUACUUUACAAAUACUGAGAGGGAAACUUGUAUUUAUGAUAAUCAUUGUGCUGCAGUAAACAUGAAUUCCAUCGCUCCCCGAUGCACUCGUUUUAUCCUCAUCCAUUAAAAGCAAAACCAUCGCAAAAGGUCGUAUAGGGCGAAGGGUUAGAGACUCCAACCAAUGAUUGAUGACCGAAAAAUUUGAAAGUGUUCAGACGGCUGAAUUACUUCUCGCUUCAGGCCUCGGACUGAGCUUAUAGCGCUGACAUAGCCACCCUGUCGCCCUCGUCAUUUUUUUCACUUUGUCCAAAUCCUCACCAAGGCCAAGGUGUCCUGCCAAACCAACGCCCACAUUUGACACGACGACAGCCGUGCAACGCAACCGGAACAGUUCGACCGCAUCAGUG